rnacentral:lncRNA from 1 species
UAUGACUCUGCAGGUGGGGCCCUCUCUGAGAUCGCCAUGAACAACCCAGGGGAAGACAGGCCUGAGGCAAGCAACGGCUUGCUGGCCCAAGGGAUUCACCAGAGGAAAGCAGUCUCCUUCAUUUCCCUUCCCUCCCUCUGCACACACUCUCUGUGGACUGGGAGGUGAGAAGUGGACUGGUGAUGCCGAUUACUGGGUCAUGAUAUGGUCCUGCUGAGAAUCCCUGGGCUUCCCGGUUUGCUCCGAGCAGACUCCCUUGGCAGGUGGCCUCUUGACCCUUGUUCAGUGACUAGGCUUUACCACAGAUAACCAGGUUUCCAGGAUGAUGAACUCCUGCCCUUACAUUUCCAAGUAUGUCCUUCCCCCUCUACACAUACACCCCUCCACCUCUGUCCCCACUGCUGCGCUCCUCCACUUUGUUAGGGUUCCGGUUGCUGACCAGAACACCAGGGCUCACUGGUGUAAGACUGUUUACUGACUUUGCCACACUCUUGGGUGUAGUCAGCCUUCCUACCCUCUACUGCCCACAUCCAGAGCCUUGUCUGUCCUGGUGGGCAAGUUUCAUGCCAGGACCUGGCUCCCUCUAGCCCCUCCCUGCCUUCCCAUUCCAAAAAUAUGACACAUUGCAAUGACCCUGAAUGCGUAACAGGCUGAG